rnacentral:tRNA from 1 species
GAUAGAUCCACUCGUUAGAGGAGCAGUGGCCUUUUAAGCCAUUGGCCGUGAGUUCGAGUCUCACCCGGAUCA